UACGGAGGAUCCGAGUGUUAUCCGGAUUUAUUGGGUUUAAAGGGAGCGUAGGUGGAUUGUUAAGUCAGUUGUGAAAGUUUGCGGCUCAACCGUAAAAUUGCAGUUGAAACUGGCAGUCUUGAGUACAGUAGAGGUGGGCGGAAUUCGUGGUGUAGCGGUGAAAUGCUUAGAUAUCACGAAGAACUCCGAUUGCGAAGGCAGCUCACUGGACUGCAACUGACACUGAGGCUCGAAAGUGUGGGUAUCAAACAGG
rnacentral:rRNA from 1 species